GAUGAACGCUGGCGGCGUGCCUAAUACAUGCAAGUCGAACGCGCAGCGAGAGGUGCUUGCACCUUUCAAGCGAGUGGCGAACGGGUGAGUAACACGUGGAUAACCUGCCUCAAGGCUGGGGAUAACAUUUGGAAACAGAUGCUAAUACCGAAUAAAAAUUAGUAUCGCAUGAUAUCAAGUUAAAAGGCGAUACGACGUCACCUAGAGAUGGAUCCGCGUUGCAUUAGUUAGUUGGUGGGGUAAAGGCUUACCAAGACGAUGUUGCAUAGCCGAGUUGAGAGACUGAUCGGCCACAUUGGGACUGAGACACGGCCCAAACUCCUACGGGAGUCUGCAGUAGGGAAUCUUCCACAAUGGGCGCAAGCCUGAUGGAGCAACGCCGCGUGUGUGAUGGAGGCUUUCGGGUCGUAAAGCACUGUUGUAUGGGAAGAAAUGCUAAAAUAGGGAAUGAUUUUAGUUUGACGGUACCAUACCAGAAAGGGACGGCUAAAUACGUGCCAGCCGCCGCCGUAAAAC
rnacentral:rRNA from 1 species